GAUAUCUGCGGGGCUGAGUCAGCGGGAGCGCUUCAGAGCUUUGUAUCGAUUUGACGUGCUGUAUGUUUCUCGCAAUGUAGUAUUGUUAACUAGUAACAGUGUACGUAGUGCAGAUAUACCACAUAUUGUAUUUUCAGUAAAGGUUGCCUUAUAAUAACCGUGAAAUCUUGGGCAGCGUUUAGUCGUACCGAAAGAUACCAGAAAGUUGUGAUGUUGGUGGUGCAAAGCUGCUAGAGGGAUUAAUGCCAGAGAUAGAAAGAUGACAAAUAUAGAAAUGUGAGAGAUUCGCGCCCAAUACCUGCUCCCUUUGUGUCGGGCUUACCCGCGCCCGGGCCUUCCUGAUGACCCCAGGCUACCUGCUCCUCAGACACAGGACACAGGGACUGCCCCCCUCCACGGUACUAGGCACAGCCGACAACUGUCUGAUUCACAAACACAGCCUCUUUGGCUGUAGAAGAGUCCACAUCCCGCGAUUCGUGUAUUUUCGACACAGUAGUUCAGAUAUUGAAUUUUCAACCACUAAUCAUGGUAAGCCAUGUUGCCACUACGAAGGUUAUUCUUACAUAGUGAAGAGAACUAAAGAAGAUGGAACAGUAACGUGGCGCUGUUCAAGACAGAGAGCAAACCACUGCCGAGGAAUGCUGAAAACGAAGGAUCCGACAGUGCUUUUCUUCAUUCGAGCAUCAAUGUGGACCUCCGGAUGUCGCUUGGUUGGAAGUAAGGUAGGCUUUGAACCACGCAAAGAAGAGGGCAAGAGACGGAGAUACGUCUAUUUCAAAAAUACGUUCAGAGGAGCUGGGUUGCCUGCAUAAUCGUGGCUAUGACUUUGUCACUGAAAUGCCAGAGCAGCAAAACAACGAAGAGAGCUUUGUAUUGCCAGCGGGCAAAAUCACAGGGAAAUUAGAUCCACCGACAAGAUAAGAAAUUGACUUACGGCAGAUUUACUAGCUAUAAACGGUGGCAGCAGUUUUUUGUUAAGCGACGACAAACUAGGAGAGAGAACGCUAGUUUUUAGCGGAAGGGCAGGAAGAGGGGCUCUAAGGAGUAAACAAGACUUUUAUAGAUGGUACGUUCAAGUGCCUCAGCAAACAGUUUUCGCAAAUAUACACCAUUCACGCUGUCUUUGAGGGUACAAAUAAUGAGACAAACAUCUAUCCAGUAUCCUUUGCAGUACUGCCAAACAAAAGAAAAGAGACGUACGUCCGUUUUUUUCUGAAAUUUGAUGGAAAAAAUUCCAGAAUGGAAACCUGCAAACGUGACCGUAGACUUCGAAUCAGCUGCGAUUACAGCAGUUAAAGCUGUGUUGGAUGUUAUUUCCAUAUGAAAAAGUGUCUCUGGAGAAAAGUUAAAGAGCUAGGACUUACUCGUGAAAACAAAGAAAACGAAGAAGUGAGACAGCAUGUUAGCAAGUGUGCUGCGCUGGCGUUUUUACGGCCUGUAGAUGUAUGUGAUGAGUGGCUAGAGAUACAUUCACAUGCACCGGAUAUCCCCAAACUUUCUGUAUUUUCUGACUACUACGUAGAUAGAUGGUUGGAAAAUGAAGAAACCCCCAUGAACCUUUGAAGUUGCUACAAACUGCGCCACCGAACAACUAACGCUGUAGAAGGUUGGCACCACAAAAUUAAUAACAUGCUUGCUAAACCAAAUCCGAAAGUUAAUGACUUUAUUAGGUGUUUGAAAAGAGAAGCAGGAAAUUCAGCGUGCGCUUAAAUGAAGGCAGAACUGAGUAUGGAAGGUAAACUGAAAAAGCGUGUCUACAUGAAACGUGAUGAAAGGUUGGGAAAAAUAGUAAAAACUUACAAAGAGGAUGGUGAUAUCGAGGUUUGCCUGAAAGCCAUAUCCUACGUACAGAAACUUCACUGAAUUUAUCAGAAGAUGUAUACAGAUAUAAUAGUGUUCAAAUGUAAGUAGCAAGUUGUAUAAAAAUAAUAAAAAUUAAAAAAAUAUUGAAGAUGCCUCUAA